rnacentral:rRNA from 1 species
CAGCAGCCACGGGAAUACAGAGGGUGCGAGCGUUAAUCGGAUUUACUGGGCGUAAAGCGUGCGUAGGCGGCUUCUUAAGUCGGAUGUGAAAUCCCUGAGCUUAACUUAGGAAUUGCAUUCGAUACUGGGAAGCUAGAGUAUGGGAGAGGAUGGUAGAAUUCCAGGUGUAGCGGUGAAAUGCGUAGAGAUCUGGAGGAAUACCGAUGGCGAAGGCAGCCAUCUGGCCUAAUACUGACGCUGAGGUACGAAAGCAUGGGGAGCAAACAGGAUUAGAUACCCGCGUAGUUCCUGUCUCUUAUAC